UUCUCUGAUUUCGACUUCAGUGGAUAAGCGUCGAUCUGGUUUCCAAAAAGAUUGAAUCGAAUAUGGAUCACCUUCUUCAGGAAACCAAACGGUCUGAAGCGUAAAAUAAAAGAUAAGCACAAAAC